GACGAACGCUGGCGGCGUGCUUAACACAUGCAAGUCGAACGGAAAGGCCCUGCUUGCAGGGUACUCGAGUGGCGAACGGGUGAGUAACACGUGGGUGAUCUGCCCUGCACUUCGGGAUAAGCCUGGGAAACUGGGUCUAAUACCGGAUAGGAGCCAUUUUUAGUGUGAUGGUUGGAAAGUUUUUUCGGUGUAGGAUGAGCUCGCGGCCUAUCAGCUUGUUGGUGGGGUAAUGGCCUACCAAGGCGGCGACGGGUAGCCGGCCUGAGAGGGUGGACGGCCACAUUGGGACUGAGAUACGGCCCAGACUCCUACGGGAGGCAGCAGUGGGGAAUAUUGCACAAUGGGCGCAAGCCUGAUGCAGCGACGCCGCGUGGGGGAUGACGGCCUUCGGGUUGUAAACUCCUUUCGCUAGGGACGAAGCUUUUGUGACGGUACCUAGAUAAGAAGCACCGGCGAACUACGU
rnacentral:rRNA from 1 species